AUACGGAGGAUCCGAGCGUUAUCCGGAUUUAUUGGGUUUAAAGGGAGCGUAGGCGGACGCUUAAGUCAGUUGUGAAAGUUUGCGGCUCAACCGUAAAAUUGCAGUUGAUACUGGGUGUCUUGAGUACAGUAGAGGCAGGGGGAAUUCGUGGUGUAGCGGUGAAAUGCUUAGAUAUCACGAAGAACUCCGAUUGCGAAGGCAGCCUGCUGGACUGUAACUGACGCUGAUGCUCGAAAGUGUGGGUAUCAAACAGGAUUAGAUACCCUGGUAGUCCACACAGUAAACGAUGAAUACUCGCUGUUUGCGAUAUACAGUAAGCGGCCAAGCGAAAGCGAUAAGUAUUCCACCUGGGGAGUACGCCGGCAACGGUGAAACUCAAAUGAAUUGACGGGG
rnacentral:rRNA from 1 species